rnacentral:tRNA from 1 species
GGCUAUAAAGCUCAGUGGCAGAGUGCAUGCUUAGCAUGCAUAGGGUCCUGGGUUCAAUCCCCAGUACCUCCA